AAUUGCAUUUAUAUUGGCUACAUUACAAAAAAUGACUCCACUCAUGGUUCCCUCUAUAAGCAAUGGACCUUGAUAAAACCUAUUAAAAUGGAGAAUUUUGUAGUGUCAUUGCAAAACAUUCAUUAUCAGCUGCCGUCAAUAAAUCGUGCAAAUUUGCCAGGUUUCGUGGUGUCUGAAGGAAAAACGUACGUCUUAAACGCCGCAUCCUCUCUACACUCUGUAGAAAUGUAUAGUUCUCUGCAGCCUCUGGAAAAUUAAUUCAUAAAUCAUAUCAAAAACAAGUAAAUAAGGAUAUCAAAACUAACCAUCACCUAUGCAUAGUUGCAUACCUUUUGUAAAAACUGGACAAAAAAAACUUACAAAAUAAGCAAAAAACUAGUUUAUAGCUCUCUCAGUUAUCUCCUGUCGAAGCAGUGGGACAUUGAGGUUGGACUCUCUGACACCAUGACAAUGGAGCUUUGACAGUGUCAACCUAUCAUCGUUGCGGUCCGGAGAUAUAUGAGCAGUUGCAUGGCACUGUCCUUCCAAUUUUUUUUCGUAACAUGACAAAUAACUAAAAUUACAUGAACCCAAGAUUAUCCCUUAUAAUUUCUGUAGCUCUUUGAAUGCCUAAAACUACAAUGUAGGACUGUGGUCUUGCUACAGCAA